AUUGAACGCUGGCGGCAGGCCUAACACAUGCAAGUCGAGCGAGCGGCGGACGUGUUAGUUAUGUAUGUGGCUCUGCCCGGGAGAUGGGGAUAACUACUGGACACUGUGGCUAAUACCGCAUACUAUCGGCUGAACCCGUAUGGGAUUAGCUAGUGGGUGGGGUAAAGGCUGACCUAGGCGACGAUCUGUAGCUGGUCUGAGAGGAUGAUCAGCCACACGGGAACUGAGACACGGCCCAGACUCCUACGGGAGGCAGCAGUGGGGAAUAUUGCACAAUGGGCGCAAGCCUGAUGCAGCCAUGCCGCGUGUAUGAAGAAGGCCUUAGGAUUGUAAAGUACUUUCAGCGGGGAGGCGUUACCAGCAGAAGAAGCACCGGCUAACUCCGUGCCAGCAGCCGCGGUAAUAC
rnacentral:rRNA from 1 species